rnacentral:rRNA from 1 species
UACGGGGGGGGCAAGCGUUGUUCGGAAUUACUGGGCGUAAAGUGUGCGCAGGCGGCCGCGCAAGUCGAGUGUGAAAGCCCCGGGCUUAACUUGGGAAUUGCGCUCGAAACUACGUGGCUGGAGUGUGGCAGAGGAAGGUGGAAUUCCAGGUGUAGCGGUGAAAUGCGUAGAGAUCUGGAGGAACACCGAUGGCGAAGGCAGCCUUCUGGGCCAACACUGACGCUCAUGCACGAAAGCGUGGGGAGCAAACAGG